AGAGGAGGUUUAUAACCUCCGCAAAUUGCAAUACAUUUUUCUUCGAGCAAAGACACGUGUUCCUCCCAAAUCAGAAAAAUUAGAAUGAAAUUUUCCGACAACCUAAGUUCAGUGUCGCAGCCUCAACCAAUCAAAAACCUAAGUUCAGUGUCGUAGCCUCAACCAAUCGAAAACCUAAGCCAACCAUCGCGUGCAGCGAUCUUCGUCGCGCCAUCCCAUCUCCGUCACGCCAUCACCGUAACGCCGUCGCGCCAUCUCCAUCACGCCGUCGCGCCAUCUCCGUCGGCGUUGUCUUCUUCGCUUCAUCUCAGUCGCGUUGUCUCUGUUUCCCCUUUCCGUCGUCGCGCCAUCUCUAGAGGCGAUUCGGACAUUGCUAUCGAAGGGUGCUGCCUCUAUUUCCUAUCCUGCUAGGGAAAUAAGAAAAGAAUGGUGAUUCGUCCUUGGAGAAGGUUGGUUAGUGUUUGCUGCGGUUUGGCAUUGUUAAGUUGUUGAAGGAGCGUUGUUGGUCUUUGAAGAAGGAGAUACAUCACUGCAGAGUUUAUAAACCUCAUCUUGUCAGAAUCAAUCCUGCAACAGAGAGCAUAUAUUGAAGGCUCCACAGGUGGUUUCUUUUGUUUUCUGUCCUUCUUCUCUUGCUCUCACCCUAGAUGGUGCUAUCAAAGAAGCAAUCAAUACAUUAAGGAGCAAUAAUGUUAAUGCAUUUGUUUUGGACCUAAGAGAUAAUAGUGGUGGUCUUUUCCCAGAAGGAAUUGAGAUUGCCAAAAUUUGGUUGGACAAAGGAGUAAUUGUGUAUAUUUGUGAUAGUCGUGGUGUUCGAGAUAUACUUGAUACAGAUGGAAGUAGUGCACUGGAAACAUCAGAACCCUUGGCUGUACUGAAGCAUGGAGCAUUCUUUUUUUCAGCUUUUCUUUCAUCAGCUCCCCAAGUGAAGUCCUGUGUUCUUUCUUUGCUACAGCAGUUGUUUCAGACAGUUCAAUAGCUGUUCCAAGAGAUAUCCCUAGAGUGGACAAUUGUAGCACCAUUUCCAUUUGGUUCUGCACCUUUUAUUGGCUUUCCACUGAGUGUUAUUAUCUGGAAUUUAUCGAGUAUCUCAUUGAAAGGUGCCAUACCUUGCUGUAUUGGCCGUCUCUUACAGUUGCAA